AUGAAAUAGAUAGGCGUGGCUGAUAAACCGUUCACCGUUCUACAAGUACAGCAUGCAGACCUACACUGCCUAGUGCUAGUGCAGUGACUGUUGAUCUUCCCUUCAGCUCUACAUUCUCAUCUCAUGCAGACACAGUAAUUGAGAAUGAGUACCAAGCCUUCCUACAAGAAGCAGCUGUUACAGACGAACAAGCUGAACUUAAAAGUCUAAUUCGAGAAGUGGAUAAAGCUAACUAUUAUAAUUUUAGUCUUAAUUUUUUUGCUGGGCAUUAAAAUCAUCUUGCAUGCAUGUGUUUGUUGAUUCUGCUUUUAGCAAAUAGUCAGUCUACAACUUAUAGAUCUGCUCUAUUCAUC